GUGAUGUAGGGUUUUUUUUUCUGUCUGAGGCUGCAUAGGAUUUUGCCCAGAAGGAAGGAAGGAAGACACCUGAAGUAAGUGAUCCUGAAGCCAGCCCUGCCCGUGGUCCAAGGACUUCACCAUUCCAUGGGGCAACAGUGAAGAACCUGACACCAAGUGUCUCCUGACAAAUGUAGGUUCGGUCUUCAGCAGCAAACUUCCUUUCAGCAGUCCUGCCCAGCUUGUUCUUUGGUGCUCUGACUCUCACGCAGAGUAGGGGUGGUGUAUCUACUCCAAGUUUCCAACUGAACAGCAAAGGAGCUAUCCAUGGCAUUGAGUCUUAGCUGGUGUUUGAUUUCGGAACCACAGAGAGGUCCUUAAAAGUUCAGGCUGAAACCCAGAAUGGAUGCACUGCUCUACUGACCCUGGCGCUAACAUCUGACUGGCCAGCGGACUGAGUAGGACGCAGAGGUCGCAACCUUCAGCACUAGGGCGAGGAUUUCUACUUAAUUUAAAAAUGCUAAUCAGCAUUAUCACUGAUUCUGAAACUAAGCAGACAAAUGAGCUCAUACUUAUUUUAGGCACACUGCUGUCCUCUUUUGACUUUUUUGAUGAUGAUGAUGAUGAUGAUGAUGA